rnacentral:rRNA from 1 species
ACGCUCGACACCUACGGGAGGCAGCGGUGGGGAAUAUUGCACAAUGGGGGAAACCCUGAUGCAGCGACGCCGCGUGAGCGAAGAAGUAUUUCGGUAUGUAAAGCUCUAUCAGCAGGGAAGAAACUGACGGUACCUGACUAAGAAGCACCGGCUAAAUACGUGCUAGCGGCCGCGGUAAUCUGAGCGGGCUGGCAAGGC